GCUUUGGUGGUUCAGUGGUUGAAUUCUCGCCUGCCACGCGGGAGGCCUGGGUUCGAUUCCCGGCCAAUGCA
rnacentral:tRNA from 1 species